GUGCUUGCUCCAGCAGCACAUAUACUAAAAUUGAAAUGAUACUGAGAAGAUUAGCAAGGCCUCUGCCCAGGAAUAACACACAAAUUCGUAGUGUUGCAUUUUUUA
rnacentral:snRNA from 1 species